rnacentral:rRNA from 1 species
UACGAAGGGGGCUAGCGGUGCUCGGAAUCACUGGGCGUAAAGCGCACGUAGGCGGCUUUUUAAGUCAGGGGUGAAAUCCUGGAGCUCAACUCCAGAACUGCCUUUGAUACUGGGAAGCUUGAGUCCGGGAGAGGUGAGUGGAACUCCGAGUGUAGAGGUGAAAUUCGUAGAUAUUCGGAAGAACACCGGUGGCGAAGGCGGCUUCCUGGACCGACACUGACGCUGAGGCGCGAAAGCUAGGGGAGCAAACGGG